GGCAAGAUGGCCGAGCGGUCUAAGGCGGCCGAGUCAAGAUCCUCUGAUCUUCCCCAUUACUGGGGUACUGCCUUCGGCUCUCGAAAGAGGCGUGGGUUCAAAUCCCACUCUUGUCA